rnacentral:snRNA from 1 species
CCUGCAGUCAUCGACCUCAA